GAGCCACUGCUGUAUUAAGUUUGUCCUCCUGCUGUUACCGUAGCUCCUUUCCCCUUUGUCACGCCUUCCAGUUAGCUUCUAAGUGGCUAGGUUUCCUUAGCGGCAACACCACUUUCUAUAAAAUAACAGGCUCACCGGUAGGCCGACUAAGAUCCCUGGUUUCUGUAAACACUGCCGAUUCGGCUAUCCUUGGUUCCCUGGGUGUUCGUCUGUGAAAGGUGUCCUACUGUCGCUAGACGCUUCCGAGUAGUUGGUGGGUAGAUCUACUACUGAAGGUCUCGGGUGAAAAGACGUUUCAACGAAGCCCUGCACUGUUUACCAAGGAACCUAGCCAACAAAGGUACAUUUAUUUGUAACUCUCGUUAGGGAGAGAAAUAUUUGUCUGUAAACCCUUUUGCUCUUAUCUAUGUCUGUUUACUACCUAUAUGUGAUUGUUGCCGCUUUAGUAUGAUGUAGCACAUGUGAGCUAAUCAUGUCCUCAGUCUAUGAUGCAAAUGCCUGUCUCGCUGUAUCUGACAUAUGCUUGUGUACAGCAGUGUUCUCAUGCCAGCUUGUGGUGACGAGCGCCAGGGGUCCCCUUGCCAUGUUGUGUUUGCUUUUAGGAUGCACUGAGGUAAAGUAGAAUGAUGCCUAGUGUGAAGGUGUAAAUCCUGUCAAUAGAAAACUGUUAUUUGUUGAUUGUGUAUUGUUUAUGGAUGACUGAUUCUGACUGUUUUGUGUCUCCAGAACCAGUUGCCACUGCUGUUUUGCCUACUGUAAAAUUAAUGUAAAGUAGCUUUCGCCCGUUUUGUUUGUUUUCUUUUCUGUUUAGUUGGUCUCAUUUGGUAUUAUUUGACUUGGCCGUUACCUUUUAGCUUCCUGUUACCUCUCUCCUUCACGGCAUUAGGGCAUGUGUGGUACUGGCUGCCCCAGUAGUUUGCUACCAGUAAAAUCCUUCCUAUUCAGCUUGCUCUACUGUUUUCCCAGUCACUGAGUGCUAACCAUCCCCUCCCCCUUCUCUCUUCUCCAGAGUAAUAGUGAAGCUGCUCACGGGGCAGGUCGCCGGAUCUGAGUCCUCCUCUUCGCACACUGCUCACAGUAUUUUGUAGUGGUAACGUGCACCUCACCAUUUGCUGUGAUCACAUUGUUGCAGUAGUUGUGCCUAUGCGUGUGUAUGUGUGUCUGUGUGAAUAGGCACCAGAGUCAAGAGCACGAGUGUUGUGUCGGCAUCACACUUCUCCCAGGACAGGUAAACGCUCCCCAUCAGCUGACUAGCUAUCUCUCCCCUACUACUGUCCCAAAGAGUAAUAUCCCUGGUGGCAGCCAUUACCACUUCCCCUUGCCGCUCACCAUAGUGGGUCUGCGCUCUAGUGCUUAACCGCAUAAAUGGCCUUUUAAGUGAAUUCCAUAUUAAUAAAUCUUGUUUAUUUUUGUACUGGAAUCACGUCUCUGUCUUUACUCAUCUUAUCUGUGUGUCUCAUCGAAUGUACUUGGGUUUACAACAUAUCUUGGUGUGAAAGGCCCCAAGUGGCG